AUUGAACGCUGGCGGCAGGCCUAACACAUGCAAGUCGAACGGCGCGGCGGACGGGUGAGUAAUGCCUAGGAAUCUGCCUGGUAGUGCGGGAUAACGUCCGGAAACGGGCGCUAAUACCGCAUACUAUCAGAUGAGCCUAGGUCGGAUUAGCUAGUUGGUGGGGUAAAGGCCUACAAAGGCGACGAUCCGUAACUGGUCUGAGAGGAUGAUCAAGCACACUGGAACUGAGACACGGUCCAGACUCCUACGGGAGGCAGCAGUGGGGAAGAUUGAACAAUGGGCGAAAGCCUGAUCCAGCCAUGCCGCGUGUGUGAAGAAGGUCUUCGGAUUGUAAAGCACUUUAAGUUGGGAGGCGUUACCAACAGAAUAAGCACCGGCUAACGGCGUGCCAGCAGCCGCGGUAAUAC
rnacentral:rRNA from 1 species